UACGGGGGGAGCAAGCGUUGUUCGGAUUUACUGGGCGUAAAGGGCGCGUAGGCGGUCAGCACAAGUCAAUUGUGAAAUCUCCGAGCUUAACUCGGAAAGGUCAACUGAAACUGUGCGACUAGAGUUGCGGGAAGGGGCAACUGGAAUUCUUGGUGUAGCGGUGAAAAUGCGUAGAUAUCAAGAGGAACACCUGCGGCGAAGGCGGGUUGCUGGGCCGACACUGACGCUGAAGCGCGAAAGCCAGGGGAGCGAACGGG
rnacentral:rRNA from 1 species